UGAAGCUGGAAUCGCUAGUAAUCGCGGAUCAGAAUGCCGCGGUGAAUACGUUCCCGGGUCUUGUACACACCGCCCGUCACACCAUGAGAGCCGGGAACACCCGAAGUCCGUAGUCUAACCUAUAUGGAGGACGCGGCCGAAGGUGGGUUUGGUAAUUGGGGUGAAGUCGUAACAAGGUAAC
rnacentral:rRNA from 1 species